ACGAACGUUAGCGGCGCGCCUAACACAUGCAAAGUCGAGCGAGAAGGGGAGCAAUCCCAAGUAAAGCGGGCGCAACGGGUGGAGUAAACACGUAGGUUAAUCUACCUCGAGGUGGUGGGAUAACCUUCCGAAAAGGAGGGCUAAUACAGCAUUGAGACCACGUUCUCGAAAGAGGAUGAGGUAAAAAAGCGGGCCUCUCUACAGAAGCUCGCGCCACGAGAUGAGCCUGCGGCCCUCAUGGUAGGUUGGUAGGGGUAACGGGCCUACCAAGCCGAAGACGGGUAGGCUGGUCUGAGAGGAUGAUCAGCCAACACUGGAAACUGAGAACACGGUCCAGACUCCUACGGGAGGCAGCAGUGGGGAAUCUUGCGCAAUGGGGCGAAAGCCUGACGCAGCGACGCCGCGUGAGUUGAUGAAGGCCUUCGGGUUGUAAAGCUCUGUGGAGGGGGACGAAUAAGGGUUGGCGAAUAUCCAGCUCGAUGACGGUACCCCUUUAAGCAAGCACCGGCUAACUCUGUGCCAGCAGCCGCGGGGUAAGACAGAGGGGUGGCAAACGUUUUUGUUCGGAAGGAAUUACUGGGCGUAAAAGCGCGUGUAGGCGGCUUCGGAAAGUCGGAUUGUGAAAAGCCCUGGGCUCAACCUAGGAAGUGCAUUCGAAACUUCCGAGCUGGAGUGCUGGAGAGGAAGGCGGAAUUCUCGGUGUAGAGGUGAAAUUCGUAGAUAUCGAGAGGAACACCGGUGGCGAAGGCGGCCUUCUGGAUAGCCACUGACGCUGAGGGACGCGGAAAGCGUGGGGAGCAAACAGGAUUAGAUACCCUGGUAGUCCACAGCCGUAAACACGAUGGGUGCUAGGUGUCGCGGGCUUUGACCCCUGCGGUGCCCGUAGCUAACGCAUUAAAGCACCCCGCCCUGGGGAGUAACGGCCGCCAAGGCCUUAAAACUCAAAGGAAUUGACGGGGGCCCGCACAAGCGGUGGAGCAUGUGGUUCAAUUCGACCGCAAACGCGCAGAACCUUACCUGGGCUAGGAAAAUGCAGGAACCUGGUUUGAAAAAUUGGGGUGCUCUUCGGAGAACCUGUAGUUAGGGUGCUGCAUGGCCUGUCGUCAGCUCGUGUCGUGAGAUGUUGGGUUAAGUCCCCGCAACUGAGCGCAACCCCCUGUCGUUAGUUGCCAGCGGUUCGGGCCGGGCACUCCAACGAAGAACUUGCCGAUAUUUCAAAUCCGGAGGAAGGUGGGGAUGACGUCAAGUCCAUUCAUGGCUCUUAUGUCCAGGGCUACACACGUGCUACAAUGGUUCGGUACAAACGGUCGCGAAACCUGCGAAGGGGGAGCUAAUCCGAAAAAACCGGCCUCAGUACGGAUAAGAGUCUGCAACUCGGACUCUUUGAAGUCGGAAUCGCUAGUAGUCGCUGAUCAGCAGGCAAGCGGUGAAUACGUUUCCCGGGCCUUGUACACCACCGCCCCGUUCACACCAUGGGAGUCGGCUUGCCUCCCAGAAGUGGGCUUGCGCCAACCCGCAAGGGAGGCAGGCCCCCAAAGGAGUGGGUGGUAACUGGGUGA
rnacentral:rRNA from 1 species